rnacentral:rRNA from 1 species
UACGAAGGGUGCGAGCGUUAAUCGGAAUUACUGGGCGUAAAGCGUGCGCAGGCGGCUUUGCAAGACAGAUGUGAAAUCCCCGGGCUCAACCUGGGAACUGCAUUUGUGACUGCAAGGCUAGAGUACGGCAGAGGGGGAUGGAAUUCCGCGUGUAGCAGUGAAAUGCGUAGAUAUGCGGAGGAACACCGAUGGCGAAGGCAAUCCCCUGGACCUGUACUGACGCUCAUGCACGAAAGCGUGGGGAGCAAACAGG